rnacentral:rRNA from 1 species
CAGUCGUCACGAGUUUGAUCCUGGCUCAGAGCGAACGCUAGCGGCGGGCUUAACACAUGCAAGUCGAGCGGAGAGCUUCGGCUCUCAGCGGCGAACGGGUGAGUAACACGUAGGUCACGUACCCUUUGAUGGGGAAUAACCUAGGGAAACCUGGGCUAAUACCGCAUAUGUCCUUCGGGAUGAAAGCCUUCGGGCGUCAGAGGAUCGGCCUGCGGCCCAUUAUUUAAUCCUAGUUGGUAGGGUAAUGGCCUACCAAGGGUACGAUGGGUAGCUGGUCUGAGAGGAUGAUCAGCCACACUGGAACUGAGACACGGUUCAGACUCCUACGGGAGGCAGCAGUGGGGAAUAUUGGACAAUGGGCGAAAGCCUGAUCCAGCCACGCCGCGUGGGUGAUGAAGGCCUUCGGGUUGUAAAGCCCUGUCGGGAGGGACGAAUCAAUGACGGUACCUCCCAAGAAAGCACCGGCUAACUCCGUG